GUAGGUGGCAAGCGUUGUCCGGAAUUAUUGGGCGUAAAGCGCGCGCAGGCGGUCCUUUAAGUCUGAUGUGAAAGCCCACGGCUCAACCGUGGAGGGUCAUUGGAAACGUGGGGGACUUGAGUACAGAAGAGGAAAGCGGAAUUCCAAGUGUAGCGGUGAAAUGCGUAGAGAUUUGGAGGAACACCAGUGGCGAAGGCGGCUUUCUGGUCUGUAACUGACGCUGAGGCGCGAAAGCGUGGGGAGCAAACAGGGAUUAGAUACCCUGGUAGUCCACGCCGUAAACGAUGAGUGCUAAGUGUUAGGGGGUUUCCGCCCCUUAGUGCUGCAGCUAACGCAUUAAGCACUCCGCCUGGGGGAUACGGCCGCAAGGCUG
rnacentral:rRNA from 1 species